ACUCCUUGGCGCAACGGUAGCGCGUUGGUCUCCGAAGCGAAAAGUUGCGUGUUCGAAUCACGUAAAUCUGCACUA